GGAUGUGAGGGUGAUCUAGCUGUGACAUCUGUCACUCCAUUGAUCGCCAGGGAUGAUUCGGCUAUUCUGGCUUGCUAGGCAGCUGUCCCCUUCCUCCCUCACUGCUCCAUGUGCAUCCCUCCUGAAGCUGCGCGCUCGGUCAAAGACAAUGACCUUCCCUGAAUAGAGAUGGACAGGUCUUUGGUUGAGGGUGUACAAGUAGCUGAGUUCCCCUGCUAAAGCCUCCAAACAAGCUCUCAAGAAUUCUGCCUCAAAGUAAAAUUAAUUACUUCUAGUUUGACAUAAAAAUAUAAAAUACUCAUCCUUGGAAGCAUUGCAGUGGAUAAAGUGUUAGACUUU
ensembl:misc_RNA 7SK 7SK RNA